UACGGAGGUGCGAGCGUUGUCCGGAAUCAUUGGGCGUAAAGGGCGCGUAGGUGGCCUGGUCAGCGUGCGGUGAAAGCUCGGGGCUCAACCUCGAGACGCCGGUGGAAACCAUCUAGCUAGAGUCCGGAAGAGGCGAGUGGAAUUCCUGGUGUAGCGGUGAAAUGCGCAGAUAUCAGGAGGAACACCUAUUGCGAAGGCAGCUCGCUGGGACGUAACUGACGCUGAGGAGCGAAAGCGUGGGGAGCGAACAGG
rnacentral:rRNA from 1 species